rnacentral:misc_RNA from 1 species
GAAAUAAGUCAUGUGUUUCUCUCUUGUCUAAGGUGCCUUAACCUCCCAGCAAUUAGAUACUCAAUUUCAGAGUAAAAGACUAUCAUUAAAAUAAUGGGCUUUUGUAAUGCAUGAUACCCCUUUCUUUUCAUCACUUUGCAAGGGUGGGGGGAGGGUCAUCCUUAACAAUGUGCUAAGACUUGCCCUCUAAGACUAUCAUUACAAUAUCACUGAGAAAAUAAGAGGGGGCAAAGAAAACAAAAAGGGAGGAAGAAGAAAUUGCUAAAGAAAUGCUAGACAAUGAUAAAUUGUUUAAAAACAAGCCUAGUUGGUCCCAUUUUAGGCCCUUUUACAUGUUUGCUACACCCUUA